rnacentral:rRNA from 1 species
GGUUAACGGGGGAUUAGGGUUCGAUUCCGGAGAGGGAGCCUGAGAAACGGCUACCACAUCUAAGGAAGGCAGCAGGCGCGCAAAUUACCCAAUUCUAACAGUUUGAGAGAGGUAGUAACAAGAAAUAACAAUACAAGGCAGUUAAAAUGCUUUGUAAUUGGAAUGAUAGAAAUUUAAACCCUUUUUAAAGUAUCAAUUGGAGGGCAAGUCUGGUGCCAGCAGCCGCGGUAAUUCCAGCUCCAAUAGCGUAUAUUAAAAUUGUUGCAGUUAAAAAGCUCGUAGUUGAAGUUCUGCURAAAGUAACCGGUCUGCUUUUAAUAAAAGUGGUAUCUUGGUAUGUAUUUAGCAAUGAUGUCCUUUGAAGUGUUUUUUACUUUAUUGUAAUAAAGCAUAUUCAGGACUUUUACUUUGAGAAAAUUAGAGUGUUUCUAGCAGGCUGACGCUUUGAAUACUGCAGCAUGGAAUAAUAAGAUAGGAUUUUAGUUCUACAUUAUUGGUUUUAAGAGCUAAAUUAAUGAUUGAUAGGGACAGUUGGGGGCAUUUGUAUUUAACUGUC